rnacentral:rRNA from 1 species
UACAGAGGUCUCAAGCGUUGUUCGGAUUCAUUGGGCGUAAAGGGUGCGUAGGUGGCGCCGUAAGUCGGGUGUGAAAAUUUCGGAGCUUAACUUCGAAACUGCAUUCGAUACUGCCGUGCUAGAGGACUGGAGAGGAGACUGGAAUUUACGGUGUAGCGGUGAAAAUGCGUAGAUAUCGUAAGGAAGACCAGUGGCGAAGGCGGGUCUCUGGACAGUUCCUGACGCUGAGGCACGAAGGCCAGGGGAGCGAGACGGG